GAUGAACGCUGGCGGCGUGCCUAACACAUGCAAGUCGAGCGAACCCUUCGGGGUGAGCGGCGGACGGGUGAGUAACGCGUGGGUAACCUGCCCUGUACACACGGAUAACAUACCGAAAGGUAUGCUAAUACGAGAUAACAUUAUUUGAUGGCAUCAUCGAAUAAUCAAAGCUUUUGCGGUACAGGAUGGACCCGCGUUUGAUUAGCUAGUUGGUAAGGUAAUGGCUUACCAAGGCUUCGAUCAAUAGCCGACCUGAGAGGGUGAUCGGCCACACUGGAACUGAGACACGGUCCAGACUCCUACGGGAGGCUG
rnacentral:rRNA from 1 species